GGUGGCUCAGUGGUAGAGCACUUGCCUUACAGGCAUGAGGCCCUGGGUUCAAUUCCUCAGCACCA
rnacentral:tRNA from 1 species